GGGAUCUGCACCUGCUGAGUCCAUGGUGGUCAGAUCGUUCUGUCAAGGGGCGAGACUGGGACUCAGUUGCAGGUGCUCAAAAGGAACAGGGCAGUCUGGAGCAGAUCCAAAAGAGCCUCCUGGACGAAUUCCACUUGGAAAUCCUCUGAUGCAAUGCCCGGACAAACUGAUAGGGAGGCGGGGGCGCUGUUGAGGCGGGGAACUGGUGGCGCGCUGUGGCGCGGCGAAGAAGAGGAGUGACAGCGAUCGGUGAGCUCUAACACGGGAGGCUGGAGAGUAGCGCUGCCUGAAAGCAGGAGGAAGUGGGAAAAAACAAACAAACUAGAGGAUGAAAACAAAACGGGCACGAUAUCUGUGUAGGCUAAACAAGAGAUGUGGAUAAAGUUGAGACAUGGACGA